rnacentral:rRNA from 1 species
AUUGAACGCUGGCGGCAGGCCUAACACAUGCAAGUCGAACGAGUGGCGGACGGGUGAGUAAUGUCUGGGAAACUGCCUGAUGAAGGGGGAUAACUACUGGAAACGGUAGCUAAUACCGCAUACCAUAAGAUGUGCCCAGAUGGGAGUAGCUAGUUGGUGGGGUAACGGCUCACCAAGGCGACGAUCCCUAGCUGGUCUGAGAGGAGGACCAGCCACACGGGAACUGAGACACGGUCCAGACUCCUCCGGGAGGAAUCAGUGGGGAAGAUUGCACAAUGGGCGCAAUCCUGAUGCAGCCAUGCCGCGUGUAGGAAGAAGGCCUUCGGGUUUUAAAGUACUUUCAGCGGGGAGGCGUUACCCGCAGAAGAAGCACCGGCUAACUCCGUGCCAGCCGCCGCGGUAAUAC